rnacentral:tRNA from 1 species
GCGUCGUAGUCCACCUGGUUGGUGGAGCCUGCCUUAUAAGCAGGUCGUGGCCCGGUUCGAUCCCGGCACGACGCAC